UUAUGUUGAAGAUGAAGAGUAGGCUCGUUGUUGGGACCAUCACAAAAAAGAAAGAUAAUUUUGGAUUGUAAAAAUCAUUCAAUGUGAUGUUGCAGAGAGAAUCACUUGUGAUUCUGGGUGGUGGAGAAGAGUCUACAACUUGUCAACUGAUGAUGGUUCAGGUCUAGGCAUAUAUUUUUCUUAUUGAAAAAUAAGAAAUAAGAUUACUACAACUUGGUGAUUUAUGAUGUUUACAGUUUAUAAGUUUGCCUAUUGCUAAAUAAUAUACAGAAUGAUGUGAUCUUUGUUUAUAAAAAUCUUUUAUAAAUUGAUUGUAAUAUAUCAAUUUAUAAAAGAUUUAGUUUCCCAAGUUGUUUGUCUUGGUAGCAUAUGCUUUGGAGCAUCAGUAGGGAGUCCUUUUGGGGUUGAUUGAGUGUUUUAUUUGAACUUGAUUGUGCAAAAGGUUUCCAUAGGCGAAAAAAGAGGCUCUGAGUAUGAUUGAAGGAAUUGGCUGUUUGUUUUGUUUAGAUUUUAAUAUUUUUUUUCCUUUAACUAAAUCAUUAAGACACUUUGGAACUUC